GAAGUGGCUCAGCUUGGUAGAGCGCUUGGUUCGGGACCAAGAGGUCGCAGGUUCAAAUCCUGUCUUCC
rnacentral:tRNA from 1 species